GCCUGGGUGGCUCAGUCGGUUGAGCGUCUGACUUCGGCUCAGGUCAUGAUCUUGCGGCUCGUGAGUUCGAGCCCCACGUCGGGCU
rfam:Felis catus breed Abyssinian Contig27779.1, whole genome shotgun sequence. [26-MAY-2016]